UUACGAGGUCAGGACACUGUGAGGAUUGACAGAUUGAAAGCUCUUUCUUGAUUCAGUGGGUGGUGGUGCAUGGCCGUUCUUAGUUGGUGGAGUGAUUUGUCUGGUUAAUUCCGUUAACGAACGAGACCUUAACCUGCUAAAUAGUCACGCGAACCGGUCCGCAAGGGCUCAAAGUUCGCGGCUCGACUUCUUAGAGGGACUAUUCGCACCCGCCAGCGAAUGGAAGUUUGAGGCAAUAACAGGUCUGUGAUGCCCUUAGAUGUUCUCGGCCGCACGCGCGUUACACUGACGGAGUCAACGAGCGUUUUUCCUUGCCCGAUAGGGCCGGGUGACCUCCUGAAACUCCGUCGUGAUGGGGAUAGAUCAUUGCAAUUAUUGAUCUUGAACGAGGAAUUCCUAGUAAGCGCGGGUCAUCAACUCGCGCUGAUUACGUCCCUGCCCUUUGUACACACCGCCCGUCGCUCCUACCGAUUGAACGGUCCGGCGAGAACUCCGGAUGGUC
rnacentral:rRNA from 1 species